rnacentral:rRNA from 1 species
UGACGAGUUUGAUCCUGGCUCAGAUUGAACUCUGGCGGAAUGCUUUACACAUGCAAGUCGAACGGUAGAGGGGGCAACCCCUUGAGAGUGGCGAACGGGUGAGUAAUGUAUCGGAACGUGCCCAGUCGUGGGGGAUAACGUAGUGAAAAUUACGCUAAUACCGCAUACGAUCUAAGGAUGAAAGCGGGGGAUCGCAAGACCUCGCGCGACUGGAGCGGCCUAUAUCAGAUUAGGUAGUUGGUAGGGUAAAGGCCUACCAAGCCAACGAUCUGUAGCUGGUCUGAGAGGACGACCAGCCACACUGGAACUGAGACACGGUCCAGACUCCUACGGGAGCAGCAGUGGGGAAUAUUGCACAAUGGGCGAAAGCCUGAUGCAGCAACGCCCGCGUGAGGGAUGAAGGCCUUCGGUUGUAAACCUCUUUAGCAGGGAAGAAGCGAAAGUGACGGUACCUGCAGAAAACGCACCGGCUAACGUAUGUGCCAGCAGCCGC